rnacentral:rRNA from 1 species
CGCUAGCUACAGGCUUAACACAUGCAAGUCGAGGGGCAGCGCAGUGUAGCAAUACAUGGGCGGCGACCGGCGCACGGGUGCGUAACGCGUAUCCAACCUUCCCGUUACUCAGGGAUAGCCUUCCGAAAGGGAGAUUAAUACCUGAUGGUGUUCAAAUUUCGCAUGUUAUUUGAACUAAAGAUUUAUCGGUAACGGAUGGGGAUGCGUGACAUUAGGUAGAUGGCGGGGUAACGGCCCACCAUGCCUACGAUGUCUAGGGGUUCUGAGAGGAAGGUCCCCCACACUGGAACUGAGACACGGUCCAGACUCCUACGGGAGGCAGCAGUGAGGAAUAUUGGUCAAUGGUCGGAAGACUGAACCAGCCAAGUAGCGUGAAGGAUGAAGGUUCUAUGGAUUGUAAACUUCUUUUAUACGGGAAUAAAACCACCUACGUGUAGGUGCUUGUAUGUACCGUAUGAAUAAGCAUCGGCUAACUCCGUGCCAGCAGCCGCGGUAAUACGGAGGAUGCGAGCGUUAUCCGGAUUUAUUGGGUUUAAAGGGAGCGUAGACGGGAGAUUAAGUCAGUUGUGAAAGGCUGCGGCUCAACCGCAGCACUGCAGUUGAUACUGGUUUCCUUGAGUGCGGUUGAGGUGUAUGGAAUUCGUGGUGUAGCGGUGAAAUGCUUAGAUAUCACGAAGAACUCCGAUUG